UACAGAGGUGACUAACGUUGUCCGGAAUUAUUGGGCGUAAAGGGCGCGUAGGUGGUCAGGUAAGUCAGGUGUGAAAGCUCUGGGCUUAACCCAGGAAUUGCAUCUGAUACUGCUUGGCUUGAGUACGGUAGAGGAGGGUGGAAUUCCCAGUGUAGCGGUGAAAUGCUUAGAUAUUACAUGGAAUACCAAUUGCGAAGGCAGGUUACUAUCAAUAUAUUGACGCUGAUGGACGAAAGCGUGGGGAGCGAACAGG
rnacentral:rRNA from 1 species